AUGAACGCUUGCGGCGUGCCUAAUCAAUUCAAGUCGAGCGAAAAGAGGAGUGCUUGCCUCCUCUGCCGUUAGCGGCGGACGGGGUAGUACCAGGUGGAUAACCUCCCUAUAUGACUGUAAUAACUUGGGAAAACCGGAGCUAAUACCGAUUAAUUUAUUUAACGGCUUGGUUCAAUAGUGAAAUACGGUUUUGCUGUCACUUAUAGAUGGAUCCGCGCGGCAUUAGCUAGUUGGUAAGGUAAGGGCUUACCAAGGCAACGAUGCGUAGCCGACCUGGGCGGGUGAUAGGCGACCUUGGAGCUGAGACACGGUCCAGAGUCCUACGGGAGGCAGCAGUCGGGAAUCUUCCGCAAUAGGCGAGAGCAUGACGGAGCAACGCCGAGUGAGUGAUGAAGGUCUUCGGAUCGUAAAACUCUGUUAUUAGGGAAGAACAAAUGUGUAAGUAACUAUGCACGUCUUGACGGUACCUAAUCAGAAAGCCACGGCUAACUACGUG
rnacentral:rRNA from 1 species